CCUACGGGAGGCAGCAGUGAGGAAUAUUGGGCAAUGGAGGCAACUCUGACCCAGCCACGCCGCGUGAGUGAAGAAGGCUUUCGGAUUGUAAAGCUCUUUCGGCUGUGAAGAUGAUGACGGUAGCAUCUUAAGAAGCCCCGGCUAACUUCGUGCCAGCAGCCGCGGUAAUACGAAGGGGGCAAGCGUUGUUCGGAAUUACUGGGCGUAAAGGGAGUGUAGGCGGUUAAGUAAGAUAGUGGUGAAAUCCCAGGGCUUAACUUUGGAAUUGCCAUUGUAACUGUUAGACUAGAAUUACAGAGAGGAUAGUGGAAUUCCCAGUGGAGCGGUGAAAUGCGUAGAUAUUAGGAAGAACACCAGUGGCGAAGGCGACUUACUGGCUGUACACUGACGCUGAGGCUCGAAAGCGUGGGGAUCAAACAGGAUUAGAUACCCGAGUAGUC
rnacentral:rRNA from 1 species